CGUUUAGGGGUAAACCUGAGAAACCCGAAAGGUCGAAGGGAGAAAUUCAUUCGCGUUUCGAGAACGGCGUGGGGCGGUCGCGUGACGGAAAACGUUCGCGUUUAUCCGCGCCUUUCGCUCUUCGAACCGAUCACGAACGCGUGCACUUUUCUCCUGGUAGGACGUCGCGAUCCGUCGGGUGUCGGUCUACGGCUCGCGGUGGAGCCCGCUCGUCGUCGUAAGACGUACGGACGGACCCGCGUGACCCGGCCGACUCGCUCGACGGUAUACGAAUGGUCGGAGGCCGCUCGUUUCGGAGCGUUCGACUCGUCGCAAGCGCGCUAGAUGCGUAGGCGCGCGGACCUAGUGCCGCGUCCGACCUCUGGCGACUGUUGGCGACGAAGUUCUCGAACAGACCUCUUAUUUAAUGACCGAUCGGCGACGCUAUAGCUUUGGGUACUUUCAGGACCCGUCUUGAAACACGGACCAAGGAGUCUAGCAUGUGCGCGAGUCAUUGGGAAUCACUAAACCUAAAGGCGUAAUGAAAGUAAAGGUCUUCCUCGCGAAGACCGAGGGAAGACGGGCGGUUUACCGUUAAAAGUGGCCGUCCCGCAUUCCCGGGGCGUCUCGUUCUCAUCGCGAGAAGAGGCGCACCAAGAGCGUACACGCUGGGACCCGAAAGAUGGUGAACUAU
rnacentral:rRNA from 1 species